UACGUAGGGACCAAGCGUUGCUCGGAUUUACUGGGCGUAAAGGGCGCGUAGGCGGCAUGACAAGUCACUUGUGAAAUCUCUGGGCUUAACCCAGAACGGCCAAGUGAUACUGUCGCGCUAGAGUGCGGAAGGGGCAAUCGGAAUUCUCGGUGUAGCGGUGAAAUGCGUAGAUAUCGAGAGGAACACCUGAGGUGAAGACGGGUUGCUGGGCCGACACUGACGCUGAGACGCGAAAGCGUGGGGAGCAAACAGG
rnacentral:rRNA from 1 species